rnacentral:rRNA from 1 species
UACGUAGGGCGCGAGCGUUGUCCGGAAUUAUUGGGCGUAAAGAGCUCGUAGGCGGCCUGUCGCGCCAAUUGUGAAAGCCCGGGGCUUAACCCCGGGUCUGCAGUCGAUACGGGCAGGCUAGAGUGUGGUAGGGGAGAUCGGAAUUCCUGGUGUAGCGGUGAAAUGCGCAGAUAUCAGGAGGAACACCGGUGGCGAAGGCGGAUCUCUGGGCCAUUACUGACGCUGAGGAGCGAAAGCGUGGGGAGCGAACAGG